UAAGAUCAAAUUUUUUUAUUCUAUCUUAGAAACAAUUUUAAUAUUUACUCAUCUGUUACGACUUGUGCUGAGUAAAAUAUACCACAAAUGCACAUAAGUGUAUGACACACCAUUUUAUUUUCAUUAAAGGGAUUCAAGGCCUUCACAAAAAGGGGUUGACUCUUGGUAACUAUAGAGUACUAACACAACACAUGACAACAAUGAAACCUCAACACAAAUAACCCGUGAGAACAAGUGAAGACACAAAUAAAUAGGAGAUUUUAAGGACAUUUCAUAUGAGUUGCAUCAACAGAACCAGAGGAAAAACGUGAGCAGAGCCUACAUCUCUGUAAAAGUACAAUAAAGGCUUCUGUACAAUAUUUGAUUUGUUUCUGAGUAGCUGAUUGUCUCUAUAGCGCCAUCUUUUGGUCAUGCACAGCAGGUUCAAGUCUGUAGUAGUUCUACAUUUUCUCCCCCACCUCUGAUUGUCUCUUUGAAGUGCUAGCAUUUUAGUAUGAGGUGCAGGAAUUUCUGAUUGUCCCUCGCUGGAAAAAAGUGUCAUUAGUGAUGUAUAAAACAGUUUAAAAGACUUUGUGAAUCAGUUUUUAAUCGCUUUACAAGCUGCUACUGUUUUAUUAACUGACUGGAUAAACAUAUUCCCCAAAUUAAUAUCAAAUAUAGAAGAAAUUUGCUGCAGAUUCUAUGUUUCAGGGCUAAACCUAUAACAGAAUGGCAAAAUUGUUAUUUUUGAUCAAUUGUCUUGUGCUUUAAGGAUGAUUGGAGCCCAGAUCAUGCUACAUUCUUUCCUCUAAUAACGCUUUACAGUCUUCCACAGUUACGUUGUUCCCCCACAGAUGUCUGUACAAAAAUAUGCAGCCUCAAUGCAGUCAGGAUAGGCAGGAUUUACACUUUUUAUGGUAGAUUUUUAAAGUUUUAAGUACAAGUGAUUGUCUAAAAUCUUCACAGUAGUCUCACAGCUUAGGGAACAAGCUAGUUUAUCACAAUAUGGUUAAGCUGCUCAAGUAACAAGAGACAGUGGUUGCAUUUCACAAUACACCUGAAAUAUGCUGGUAUUUACCUGGGAUGAAUUAUUUGUGUGUGCGGCACAGCUUUGCACUUUUCUCAGAUUCAAAUGUAUCAAAAUGAUUAGCAGUUUUUCUAAAAAUAAAAAUCAAAACCUUGAGUUUUGAAUUAAUUCUUGAAAAUGUUAAUUCUCCAGUUCCUUACGGUUACAGACAAUGGAUGGAUGGAUUAUCUGGGAGACCAACACAAGGUAUUGCAUAACUGUGAAUAGGAACAAAAAUCACUGCAAAAACAAAAUCUUACCCAGUAAUUUUUGUCUAGUUGAAAUAAGACAAAACUAACUUGCAAGUAAUUUUUCGACAAGACAUACCAACUUGAUUGGUUCCUUAAUAUUGAUGGAAAAGUAAUAGUUCAAUUGUCAGAUUAUUUAACUUAUGACAUUUUUGUCCGUUUAUAUCAAAGAAUUAUUGGCUUAAAACAAGUCUUUAUAUUUUGCUGAAAAGUUACUUAUGAGUUAAUCUUGUCUUAUUUCAAAUAUAUUAAGAUAUUUGUACUAGAAACUGGAUCAAAAAUACGUAGAUGAAAUUUUGUGUUUUUGCAGUGUACCAAAUUAGAAACUAAAUCUGGGUAUGAGUGAACUCUGUCCUUCGACGCUGCAGUUAGACUUUAGGUUUCAGAUCAUUAUUGCUCAGCAGACGGUUAAUUUAAAGCGGACAAACUGCUGACAUUUCUGUUGUUGACAAGUCAAAACGCGAACAAGCCGCACCCUGUCAGCAGCAGGUUGAGUCAACGUCCCGAUCCCCAGGUUUCCAGGUCUAGUUCCACAGAAAGCUCCCAACUUCACACUUCAAAACUGAUCACUUAAAACCUAAACUGCUGUAAACACUUAGAGAAUAAGUAGACAUGUUCCAACACUGCAAAAAGAAAAUCUUAACAAAUAACUUUUCAGCGAGACAAACAAGCUUGUUGUACGUAAAUAAUUCCUUAAUGAUGAUGAAAACGUACUGCUUAUGAAAUAAGAAAAAUGUCUUAUGAUAAGUAAAAUAUUCUGCCAGUGGAUCCAGUACAUUUUUAAAAUCAAUUUUCCCAAAUUAUUGACUCACAAGCUACCAUAUCCUGUUAAAAAGUUACUUAUAAGAUAGUUUUGUCUUAAUUAAAGUAAGAUAUUUGCACUAUAAACUAUACUUGGUAAUAUUUCGUUUUUUGCCGUGAAGUUUCAAAACCAGCAACAGUCUAAAGUUUUCUUAAUGAGUUUCUCAGGCUACAUCAACGCACUGUGCCCCUUCCCCACCUGUUGCUGUGCACUGGUGGUCACAGUGCACAAUAGUCAAGAUAGUCAAUCGAUAGGUUGACUAUCUUGGUCAAACAUGUAAAAAACGAUUUGGGCGUUUCUGUCGCCAAAAACACAAACAGUCAUGGUUUACAGAGUAAAAAUGUUGCAUUUUUCUGUAAUAGCUGCCAUCUGUUCUGAACGAUAUAACAAACACAUUUUUUUGUUUUCUUUCAAAAAAAUUGACUAAUAACUAGAGUUUGUAGUCAACCUAUUAUUUUUGUCAGUUUCUUUAUUAUUGUACUUGUGCUGAUUUAUCAAAUAGAUUUGUAAUUUAGUACCUUUAUGUCUCUGUUUAAAAAAAAGAGAAGCAUUUUAAGUCUUUUCAAAUCUGUUUUUCUGUAUGAGAUAUGUAUCGGCCAAUACGAAACCUCAGAUAUCUGUAUCGGACGUGAAUACAGUGAAUACAUCCUUGUAUUCACUUCCGAAAUAAAUAAAAAAACACAAAUUAUUCAUAAUCUCUUGCAGGAUGGGGCAGAAAGUGAUUUUGCUUUUUUUUUGUUUUGUUUAACGCAGACAAAUAAUGCAUUCAGUUACAAGGAAGCUGUUUUAAAACUACUAUAAAACUAGAGCAAGGCUGUGAUACCUAUUACUGAGCACUGCUCGUCAGCUGGCUGAACAGAAGGACAUUUUCUUCCCUUACAAGGAGGAUAAGUUUGAAAAUAUUUCAGGUUACAUUUUUUGUGUAGAAAAAGUGAAAUUCCAAAAGUAAGAUAUAGCAUUAGGUAAAACCAAUAUAUGCAACGUUUCACUUUUUUCACUUCCGAUACUGAUAUCGAUAUCUGAGGUCUAGUAUCGGCUGAUGUUGAUACAAUACAAACAGCUGAAUUUACUUUGAGCAUUUUUGUUUUAAACACAGACAUAAAUCUACUGAAUUACAAGUUUAUUUGACAACUCUGCACCAGCACAGCGCCCUGUCAUAUUGCAAGCUGCGUCAAACGUAAAAACAACUUUAUUUUGUACAGUCAGUUCAAUUAGGAGUAAAACAGCCAAUGUAAAAUAAACACCAAUAAAUAAAAUGAAUCUGACAAAAACAAUAGACAUGUCAAAAUAAACUGCAACAAACCAUUCCAAUUGUUCAGAAAGUGCAGUUAGAAAUUAUAAAUAUAAUCUCAAAUAAAAAGUAGAUUUAGACUGAAUAGUUCUGCUAUUAUGGAUCGGCUACAUUCUCUGAAUUCUUUUCAAUAUCAGUCCCGAUACAUAUAUUAAUAUCGGAUCGGUGUAUUUCUCAUAAAUAUAUCACCACCAGAGUUUAAAUUAAACCUGUGUGAGAAAUUGCUGUAAUUGGCUUCGUUUUAACUGGGAUCUGUGUUAACGCGCUGCGCACUGAGGUCAGUGUACCUCAUUACUGUCAUCUGCACAGACUGACCGCAGUGAUUGGUUUCUGCUCGGGCGCACAGUGGACACUGCCUCCUCAUUUGGCCCCGGGGCCCUGCGCAGCCACAUCCAGUCAGCGGUGGCUCCCUGAUCCGGGGGCCGCAUCCCUCUGCAGCAACGACGCAUUUUCUGCUGCUUUUCGCCGCUAUGGGCCUUUUUGGAACGGAGCGGGAAUAUUUAGAUAAGAUAUAAGAUAAUGGAUGAUUUGCACCCGGAAGUGGAGUUGUUUGGCCGCCGGAGGCGCCAAUAAAGAUCACGACCUGUCAAAAUAUGCAAACUGAUUUUGUUUGUGGUGCUGUGCUUAAUCAGGAAGCUGUAAACCAGUUUGCUGCUGCUGCUGCUGCUGCUGCGUCAUGGCGCUGGUUUGAGCUUUGCGUGCGUUAACGC